rnacentral:rRNA from 1 species
AUGAACGCUAGCGGCAGGCUUAACACAUGCAAGUCGAGGGGCAGCAGGAGUAGCAAUACUUGCUGGCGACCGGCAAACGGGUGCGGAACACGUACGCAAUCUACCUUCAACUGGGCAUAGCCCGAAGAAAUUCGGAUUAACACCCCAUAACAUAACUAACAGGCAUCUGUUUGGUUAUUAAAACUGAGGUGGUUGGAGAUGAGCGUGCGUCCCAUUAGAUAGUUGGUAGGGUAACGGCCUACCAAGUCGACGAUGGGUAGCUGAUGUGAGAGCAUGAUCAGCCACACGGGCACUGAGACACGGGCCCGACUCCUACGGGAGGCAGCAGUGAGGAAUAUUGGUCAAUGGACGCAAGUCUGAACCAGCCAUGCCGCGUGCAGGAUGAAGGCCUUCUGGGUUGUAAACUGCUUUUAUCAGGGAAGAAACCACAGAUUUCUAUUUGUGCCGACGGUACCUGAGGAAUAAGCACCGGCUAACUCCGUG